ACUGCUUUUGUGCUCCAGGGUUACAUAUUUCUCCCAUUUUAUUUUAUUUUAAUGAAAGACAAAGAGCAGUAUAUUAAAGAAGAUGAACUUGAAUAUGAAUCUCAGCUCAAAGGGACGGAUGCUGUUGAGCUGGUCGUGAGAAGCAGUCGUGCGUGAGAUGAGCGUUCUGUCUCGUUCUGAUCUUAAUGACACUCAUCCUGAUGCCCCCGUGUGAAUAUUCUGCUUCAACCUGGUGCUCCAUAGAAAAAAACAGUCAUCUGGGUUUGGAGGGAGAGUAAAUGAUGUUUUAUUUAAUGGGAUUUCAUUUUAUAUAUAUAUAUAUAUAUAUAUAUAUAUAUAUAUAUAUAUAUAUAUAUAUA